UGAUGGUGCUCACCGGGCAGCGCUGGGGCCGGUGCCUUGGCCAGGGAUGCAUGCAGGGAGCUGAGCCGGCUCUUCAUCACCCGCAGCCCCUCUGUGAACCGAGUCUCCUGCCCCUUCAGCAGCUGCUGCAUCUGCCGGAUGGUGGCCAGGAGCUGCUGCCUGCUCAGGCAGCUCUGUGGGGACAGAGGCUGUCAAACACCAUCAGACCCCUCUAUCCAUCCCGUCCCCACUGUGUGCACUGGAGCCCGGAGCUCAGCACCAGCAGGGCUAGGGUCAGUGUGCGGGAUGGAUGCUGGAACCCGUGUUCUGCUGCUGCAGCUCCAGACCCCUGCGGGAUGGAUGCUGGAACCCGUGUCCUGCUGCUGCAGCUCCAGCCCCCUGCGGGAUGGAUGCUGGAUGCUGGAACCCGUGUCUGCUGCUGCAGCUCCAGCCCUGUCCCACUUCCACAUGACAAAGCAAGAGGAAAACAGCUGUCUUGUGAGCUGUGCCGGGGCCAGGAGCGCUGCUGGGCUGCCUGCCUGCACAGCGAGCCCUGCACGGGCUGACUCAUGCCCAUGGGCACCGUUAACAUGGGUUUCCCUAUGGAACCGGCUUCAAGGUGGAGGACAGAGGGCUGAGCAGGACAGGGCAGCUCUGUGCUCAGACCCGCACAGGGCACACAUGGGGUUCGGGCUGUGGGAUGGGGCUGGCACAGGAGCUAUCCCGGCCCGAGGGAUUCCAUUCCCCAUAGCCACAGAGCUCCGCUCAUUGCCAACAGCUCCCGGGUUUACGGAGCAGGGAUGGGAUCCAGCCCCGGCGCCGGCUCCGCUUCCCCCGGUGCUGUCUGGGGGUCACAGGUGGGGAUGUGCCCCUCGGUGCCCGCAGCCCCGGGUGCCCGCACCGGAGGACGGGAGGUGCGGGCAGCGCUGGCUCCGGUAACGGGCUCUUUGUGCGGACCGGGGCAGCUCCGGGACCGGUGGGAGCCGGAGGGAUGCUGAGCACCACAAACCCCUCUGUGCCACAGAACCGGGGGAUGCUGAGCACCACAAACCCCUCUGUGCCACAGAACCGGGGGGAUGCUGAGCACCACAAACCCCUCUGUGCCAUAGGACCGGGGGAUGCUGAGCACCACAAACCCCUCUGUG
rnacentral:lncRNA from 14 species